UGUCUUAAAGGGUCCUGCUCCAUCCGCCCUGUACCCGGGGUAAUGCGUGCUGCACCACCGAUAUAUGUCCUCUCCUGGCGGGUGCAGGCGGUCUUUGUCCUCUGAAAGGUUAUAUACCUUCUUCCCACAGCACUCCAGGGAGGGGAUUGCUUACUCCCACUGCGGACUGUGCCUCUGAACUAGUUACUGAGCCCGGGGCUGGUUCCCCUCCUCCCCAGAAGGGGAUCCCCACCUCUGUUCCUCUGCCGCCCGUUGUAUCUCUCCCAGUUUGAAACCACGCACCUAUGGCCUGUCAGUGCUGCUGCAAGUCCACCCACCCUGACCUCAUGCCCCCUGGCAGCCCCGUGGAGGCAAAAUAGCUGAAACCUGCUGUCUAAGUCCGAACUCACCCUGUGGCUGAAGCUGGCAAGGCCCUUCCUGCCAGUUCUGCUGGGUCCUGAGAGGGCACCUGGUUCUAGAGCUUUCUACAGCUUUCUAGAUGUGUGAAUCAAAUCUAUUACCUACAUUUACUGGGCCAUAGGUACCCCAUGACUUUGGUCAUAGCUCUGAAAUUUAAGGUGUGCUCGGCUGGUUUGGGUUCUAAAAACACUGAAACUCUAAAACAAAGUCUGAUGGAUGACAAUCUGUGUUGAGGCACACCAGAGUAUCCUUUAAAAGCAUUUUAAAAUCAGCUCCAACAUCAAAGCAAACAAGAAGCCAGACUGAAACCAGCUUUAAAUGGGUCUUCAUAUUUGUAUUUUAGCCAUGUUGCUCAGAAGUUCUUAGUACGUCUCUCUCAGUCAUCUCUGAUGUCAUGGUAUCCUGUAUGUAGAGUUUGAAGCCACUGAAAAUAGUAUUUUGCUCUUCACUUUGGCUAUUUCAAGGAUUUAAAGAGAACUUACUUGAAGAAAUUCAUUUCACAAAGGACAUCAUUGAAAACAUUGGUUAUGUUACCAGAACUUUGACUGGAAUGCCAUAUUUGAGAGAGACAUGCAUAGACUCAGAGAUGACCAGACAGCUUUAAGGAACUAAGAUGGACUUUAUGCAGCCAAUGAAGCUCCUUGGAAAAAAAUCAGGCUGAUACCUUGCUUACAGAGUUCCCAGCAGCCUUACCAGGCCAUUCAAAAACAUCACCAGAGACAUUUGAACUACAAAGUAGAAAAAUCUAUCAAAUUAUUGCUGCCUGCCCUCACUCCAUCUGUGGAUGCUUUGAGCCCAAGAUCUAAAAAUCUUCUCACUGGCAACACUUGGGAAUCAGAGAGACAGAGCAAGAGCAGAGGAGGAGCAGAGAGAGAGGGAGACACAGAAUCCAAAGUAG